rnacentral:rRNA from 1 species
UACGAAGGGGGCUAGCGUUGCUCGGAAUCACUGGGCGUAAAGGGUGCGUAGGCGGGUCUUUAAGUCAGGGGUGAAAUCCUGGAGCUCAACUCCAGAACUGCCUUUGAUACUGAGGAUCUUGAGUUCGGGAGAGGUGAGUGGAACUGCGAGUGUAGAGGUGAAAUUCGUAGAUAUCGCAAGAACACCAGUGGCGAAGGCGGCUCACUGGCCCGAUACUGACGCUGAGGCACGAAAGCGUGGGGAGCAA